UACGUAGGUGGCGAGCGUUGUUCGGAAUUAUUGGGCGUAAAGGGUCCGCAGGGGGCCUGUUAAGUUAGAUGUGAAAUCCCGGGGCUCAACUCCGGAACUGCAUUUAAAACUGACGGGCUAGAGUAUUGGAGAGGUGAGCGGAAUUCCAGGUGUAGCGGUGGAAUGCGUAGAUAUCUGGAAGAACACCGAAAGCGAAGGCAGCUCACUGGACAAUUACUGACCCUCAUGGACGAAAGCGUGGGGAGCAAACAGGAUUAGAUACCCUGGUAGUCCACGCCGUAAACGUUGUGAACUUGUUGUGGGGGGAUUUAGCCCCCUCCGUGACGAAGCUAACGCGAUAAGUUCACCGCCUGGGGACUACGGUCGCAAGACUAAA
rnacentral:rRNA from 1 species